UGCUACUCCAGUGAGAUCUAGGAUUCGGGUUCUCUUGCUUCCGGGACACUCACCUGGGCUACACUAAAUCGGAAGUCAUAUGCCUAGUGUUGGGUGAGGUGUUGCCUUCGUUACAGGGGUGCAGCAUUGGAUUUUCAAAUACCAUUCAGAAUUGAAAGGAAUCUUGGCAAAUGCAACAGUGUGUGUGCAACUUGAGGCAUCUUGAGGACUGUGCUGUAUGGAAUAAGAGAGCAACAGACAUAUAAAGAUUGUAUUCUAUGGGAGAUCUAUUGCCCUUGCAGAGGUCAGUUUUGUUCUGUGAAAGCCUGUCCUGAAAACAGGAUGAUGCCUCCCUGAUACCAUGAUAGAGCAAAGAAAGCACACCAUCGGACAGUCAAAAAGGCGACCGGCGUCCCAACGGAUUUAGCAACAGAACUGUGGAGGUGGCUGUGCUCUGCCCCGCCAUCCUAAGGAAAUGCCUGUCUGAGGACUUUGGGACACGUCAUCCCUGAGAAUGCAGAGUGCGCUGCUGCUUUUCUUAAGCUGCUCUCAGAGUCUGCACCUAAAAUGCCCAGUGACUGGCUGCAUGGAAAUCUUUAAGCUAAAAGCUGCACACUGACUACAGGCUGCUGUGCCCCAGGGAGAAAUAAACGAGGAGACCCUUCAUGAGAGGCUAUCUUCCUGAGGCUAAAGUUCUAAGACGCACAUCAAAAAUUUAUAUGCGUGCUGGAAAGAGACCCAGUGAGUGAGAGAUUCGGAAAAUGUGUUAGAGUUAUCAGACACAUUUGCACGAGAGGUUGGAUAUUUGAGUAAAGAUCACAGAACUUAACCUA